ACCCUGCUAGCUCAUCCGGUAGAGCACGAGACUUUGAAUCUCGGGGUUGUGGAUUCGAACCUCACGUUAGGCG
rnacentral:tRNA from 1 species